CAAUUUCAUGGGAUUUUGGGUGAAAUUAAUGGGAUUUUGGGUCAAGAUAAUGGCAUUCUGGGUCAAAUUAAUGGGAUUUUGGGUCAAGAUAAUGGGAUUCUGGGAGAAAUUUAUUGAAUUUUGGGAGAAAUUAAUGGGAUUUUGGGUCAACUUCAUGGGAUUUUGGGUCAAGAGAAUGGGAUUUUUGAGUCAACUUAUUGGGAUUUUGAGUCAAGUAACAAGACUUUGGGUCAACUUAACGGGUUUUUGUGUCAACUUAGCGGGAUGUUGGGUCAGGAGAAUGGGAUUUCGAGUCAACUCUUGGGAUUUUGAGUCAACUUAUUGGGAUUUUGGGUCAACUCUUGGGAUUUUGAGUCAAGUUUUGGGAUUUUGAGUCAGCUUAACAGGAUUUUGGGUCAAGUUGGUGGGAUUUUGGGUCAAGUUAGCAGGAUUUGGGGUGGAAUUCUCAUCUUUUUGCUGCUCUGGCUGCACUAUAGAGCCAAGUAGAGCGUGAUGGGGCAGUGAUCGCUGCCCAUGGCCUUGUUGCGGAUCUUGGAAUCGCACAGGGCC
rnacentral:lncRNA from 1 species